rnacentral:rRNA from 1 species
AUUGAACGCUGGCGGCAGGCUUAACACAUGCAAGUCGAGCGGGGUGAUGGUGCUUGCACUAUCACUUAGCGGCGGACGGGUGAGUAAUGCUUAGGAAUCUGCCUAUUAGUGGGGGACAACAUCUCGAAAGGGAUGCUGAUACCGCAUACGUCCUACGGGAGAAAGCAGGGGAUCACUUGUGACCUUGCGCUAAUAGAUGAGCCUAAGUCGGAUUAGCUAGGUGGUGGGGUAAAGGCCUACCAAGGCGACGAUCUGUAGCGGGUCUGAGAGGAUGAUCCGCCACACUGGGACUGAGACACGGCCCAGACUCCUACGGGAGGCAGCAGUGGGGAAUAUUGGACAAUGGGGGAACCCUGAUCCAGCCAUGCCGCGUGUGUGAAGAAGGCCUUAUGGUUGUAAAGCACUUUAAGCGGGGAGGAGGCUCUUUUGGUUAAUACCCAAGAUGAGUGGACGUUACUCGCAGAAUAAGCACCGGCUAACUCUGUGCCAGCCGCCGCGGUAA